rfam:Skermanella stibiiresistens SB22 contig7, whole genome shotgun sequence.
CAAUGGCUCCGGGCCCCUCUGGCGAUCGGCUUUUCUUGCUGAACGCGAUGUCGGAGCCCUUCA